rnacentral:rRNA from 1 species
UUAGUGGCGGACGGGUGAGUAACGCGUGGGUAACCUGCCGUAUACCGGGGGAUAACACUUAGAAAUAGGUGCUAAUACCGCAUAAGCGCACAGAACCGCAUGGUUCCGUGUGAAAAACUCCGGUGGUAUACGAUGGACCCGCGUCUGAUUAGCCUGUUGGCGGGGUAACGGCCCACCAAAGCGACGAUCAGUAGCCGGCCUGAGAGGGUGAACGGCCACAUUGGGACUGAGACACGGCCCAGACCCCUACGGGAGGCAGCAGUGGGGAAUAUUGCACAAUGGGGGAAACCCUGAUGCAGCGACGCCGCGUGAGUGAAGAAGUAUUUCGGUAUGUAAUGCUCUAUCAGCAGGGAAGAAAAUGACGGUACCUGACUAAGAAGCCCCGGCUAACUACGUGCCAGCAGCCGCGGUAAUACGUAGGGGGCAAGCGUUAUCCGGAUUUACUGGGUGUAAAGGGAGCGUAGACGGUGAUGCAAGUCUGGAGUGAAAUGCGGGGGCUUAACCCCUGAACUGCUUUGGAAACUGUGUGACUGGAGUGCAGGAGAGGUAAGCGGAAUUCCUAGUGUAGCGGUGAAAUGCGUAGAUAUUAGGAGGAACACCGGUGGCGAAGGCGGCUUACUGGACUGUAACUGACGUUGAGGCUCGAAAGCGUGGGGAGCAAACAGGAUUAGAUACCCUGGUAGUCCACGCCGUAAACGAUGAUUACCAGGUGUCGGGGAGUAAGACUCCCCGGUGCCGGCGCAAACGCAAUAAGUAAUCCACCUGGGGAGUACGUUCGCAAGAAUGAAACUCAAAGAAAUUGACGGGGGCCCGCACAAGCAGCGGAGCAUGUGGUUUAAUUCGAAGCAACGCGAAGAACCUUACCAGGUCUUGACAUCCACUUAAAGCCGUAGAGAUACGGUGUGAGCUUGCUCAAAGUGAGACAGGUGGUGCAUGGUUGUCGUCAGCUCGUGUCGUGAGAUGUUGGGUUAAGUCCCGCAACGAGCGCAACCCUUAUCCUUAGUAGCCAGCGGCGAGGCCGGGCACUCUAGGGAGACUGCCAGGGAUAACCUGGAGGAAGGUGGGGAUGACGUCAAAUCAUCAUGCCCCUUAUGAUUUGGGCUACACACGUGCUACAAUGGCGUAAACAAAGGGAAGCGAGCCCGCGAGGGGGAGCAAAUCCCAAAAAUAACGUCUCAGUUCGGAUUGUAGUCUGCAACUCGACUACAUGAAGCUGGAAUCGCUAGUAAUCGCGGAUCAGAAUGCCGCGGUGAAUACGUAACCGGGUCUUGCACACACCGCCCGUCA